GACGAACGCUGGCGGCGUGCCUAAUACAUGCAAGUCGAACGCAGUGGGGACGGGUGAGUAGCACGUGGGUAACCUCCCAUCUGAGGAGGUAACACUUGGAAACAGGUGCUAAACCGAUAUUGGUGGAGGUACCCGCGGUGCAUUAGCUAGUUGGUGAGGUAACGGCUCACCAAGGCCACGAGGCAUAGCCGACCUGGGAGGGUGAUCGGCCACACUGGGACUGAGACACGGCCCAGACUCCUACGGGAGGCAGCAGUAGGGAAUCUUCGGCAAUGGACGAAAGUCUGACCGAGCAACGCCGCGUGAGUGAAGAAGGUUUUCGGAUCGUAAAACUCUGUUGUUAGAGAAGCGGUAUCUAACCAGAAAGCCACGGCUAACUACGUGCCAGCAGCCGCGGUAAUAC
rnacentral:rRNA from 1 species